AUUGAACGCUGGCGGCAUGCUUUACACAUGCAAGUCGAACGGUAACAGGCCGCAAGGUGCUGACGAGUGGCGAACGGGUGAGUAAUGCAUCGGAACGUGCCCAGUCGUGGGGGAUAACGCAGCGAAAGCUGUGCUAAUACCGCAUACGAUCUAUGGAUGAAAGCGGGGGACCGUAAGGCCUCGCGCGAUUGGAGCGGCCGAUGUCAGAUUAGGUAGUUGGUGGGGUAAAGGCCCACCAAGCCAACGAUCUGUAGCUGGUCUGAGAGGACGACCAGCCACACUGGGACUGAGACACGGCCCAGACUCCUACGGGAGGCAGCAGUGGGGAAUUUUGGACAAUGGGCGCAAGCCUGAUCCAGCAAUGCCGCGUGCAGGAAGAAGGCCUUCGGGUUGUAAAGUCCGGUAAGCAGGGAAGAAUAAGCGUGGGGUAAUAUUCCAUGUGAUGACGGUACCUGCCUAAAGCCCCGGCUAACUACGUGCCAGCCGCCGCCGUAACAC
rnacentral:rRNA from 1 species